CGAGUAUAACAGACAAUCGCAUGCAUAUACUUUAUGACUUUCAUUUUUUCCUUCUUCUAGCUAUUUUGUACUAUAUGAAUCUAAUGUAAAAGGGUAUGGAUUAUCUUUAUAAUAUAUACCUUUUUAGGAUUAUGUCUAUGUAUGAGGAAAGUCCGGGCUUCACAGGGCAGGAUGCCGGAUAACGUCCGGUGGAGGCGACUCUAAGGAAAGUGCAGCAGAAACAUACCGCCGCUUAUGCGGUAAGGGUGAAAAGGUGGUGUAAGAGACUACCGCCUGUAUGGCAACAUACGGGGACCAUGUAAACCCCAUCCGAAGCAAGACUAAAUAGAGCGUAUUUUUAAUACAGGGGCUGCCCGUCCAAGCUCAGGUUUGUCGCUUGAUUCUGCCGGCAACGGCAGAGCUAGAUAGAUGAUUGUCUGAUACAGAACCCGGCUUACAGUUAUGCUCGCUUU
rnacentral:RNase_P_RNA from 2 species